rnacentral:rRNA from 1 species
CGUAGGGUGCAAGCGUUGUCCGGAUUUAUUGGGCGUAAAGAGCUCGUAGGCGGCUUGUUGCGUCGACUGUGAAAACCCGCGGCUUAACCGCGGGCUUGCAGUUGAUACGGGCAGGCUAGAGUUCGGUAGGGGAGACUGGAAUUCCUGGUGUAGCGGUGAAAUGCGCAGAUAUCAGGAGGAACACCGGUGGCGAAGGCGGGUCUCUGGGCCGAUACUGACGCUGAGGAGCGAAAGCGUGGGGAGCGAACAGGAUUAGAUACCCUGGUAGUCCACGCUGUAAACGUUGGGCGCUAGGUGUGGGGGGCCUCUCCGGUUCUCUGUGCCGCAGCUAACGCAUUAAGCGCCCCGCCUGGGGAGUACGGCCGCAAGGCUA